rnacentral:rRNA from 1 species
UACGAAGGGGGCGAGCGUUGUUCGGAAUCACUGGGCGUAAAGCGCACGUAGGCGGAUUGUUAAGUCAGGGGUGAAAUCCUGGAGCUCAACUCCAGAACUGCCUUUGAUACUGGCGAUCUCGAGUCCGGGAGAGGUGAGUGGAAUUCCUAGUGUAGAGGUGAAAUUCGUAGAUAUUCGCAAGAACACCAGUGGCGAAGGCGGCUCACUGGCCCGAUACUGACGCUGAGGCACGAAAGCGUGGGGAGCAAACAGGG